rnacentral:rRNA from 1 species
UACAGAGGUGGCAAGCGUUGUUCGGAAUUACUGGGCGUAAAGGGCGCGUAGGCGGUCAGGUCAGUCCCGCGUGAAAUCCCUCGGCUCAACUGAGGAACUGCACGGGAAACUGCCUGGCUUGAGUUCGGGAGAGGGAAGCGGAAUUCCGGGUGUAGCGGUGAAAUGCGUAGAUAUCCGGAGGAACACCGGUGGCGAAGGCGGCUUCCUGGACCGACACUGACGCUGAGGCGCGAAAGCUAGGGGAGCAAACGGG